CCAAUAGCGUAUAUUAAAGUUGUUGCAGUUAAAAAGCUCGUAGUUGAAUUUCGGGAUUAGUACGUUGGUCGUGCCUUGGUACGUACUGGUGUAACUGAUUCCUCCCUUCUGACGAACCUUUAUGCCAUUAAUUUGGUGUGGCGGGAAAUCAGGACUGUUACUUUGAAAAAAUUAGAGUGUUUAAAGCAGGCUCGCGCUUGAAUACAUUAGCAUGGAAUAAUGAAAUAGGACGUUAAUCCUAUUUUGUUGGUUUCUAGGAUCGACGUAAUGAUUAAUAGGGAUAGUUGGGGGCAUUAGUAUUCAAUUGUCAGAGGUGAAAUUCUUGGAUUUAUUGAAGACUAACUACUGCGAAAGCAUUUGCCAAGGAUGUUUUCAUUAAUCAAGAACGAAAGUUAGGGGAUCGAAGACGAUCAGAUACCGUCGUAGUCUUAACCAUAAACUAUGCCGACUAGGAAUCAGACGAUGUUAAUUUUUUAAUGACUCGUUUGGCACCUUACA
rnacentral:misc_RNA from 1 species